ensembl:lncRNA
CGCAGACUUUGCAGGGUCCAAGCUCUGCAUUUUAGUACUCAUUUUGAAUGAGUUUUCUUUAAAUCACGUUUAUUUUCGAUGUUGGCUUUCUCGGGACCGCAUUCAGGAUCUGAGCUUUCUGCAUCAGAAUCCAAGACAACUCCUCAUUUUGUUGAAGAAUUGUCCAGAAAUGAAGAAGACUUUCCUGUCAGAGGGAGAUUUCUCUGCCAUGGAUCUCAUCUGGGUUCUGGAAACUACUGUUCCCCUGAGAAAAUGAAGGGAAUAUGGACCUCUCCAGGAGUCAAAUUUCUGUCUUUUGCAUACCUGCACUGAUUGGGCUUCCAAGGUGGGAGAUUUCUUACCUUCUCCUUUGGAUAGUAACAGCAGAGCAUUUGUUUGGUCCACCUUGCCCAGGGAGGAGGCUACCAUCAGCACUAGUGGGCAUGCAGGUUCAGAGAGAUGGGCAGGAUCUGCAUGAGCCUUGAACCAAGACUGCUGAACACAAUAAUCACAGAGUAACACAGAAUCACAGAACUGCAGCGGUUGGAAGGGACCUCAUGAAAACGAAUCCAGCUCCCCUGCUAAAGCAGGUACCCUACAGCACGUUGCAUAGGCAGAAAAGGUAAUUUAUGUUUCUUCUGAGCCUCAAGAGACAAUAUGGGCAUGCUGCGUUACCAUGCCCUAAAUGAAAUCUUAGAGUACCUAAGUAAAACUCACUCCACCCUUACCUGGAAGUUCCACUCAUGGAAACCACAUCCUUUCAUUGCCACCCACGUCUCCAUUCGGAAAGGACUUUGAAGGAGGAAGACUGAAGAUUAGAUCAUUCUUUUAUUAAGCAUCCUUUUGUCUGUUUUGCUCCAGAAACCAUGCUCUUCCUCUCCUAUGAGUCAUUUGUUGUUACUCUUACAACGUCUGUGACAGAGCCAUGCUACAUUGUGGACUAUUGCCAAAAAUUCUGCCAGUGACAAAGAUUGAAGCCUUCAUACGAACUGGAAGGAGUCUGUUCUUGGUCCACCCCAUGUGAAGCAACACUGUGCCCAUGCAUCUCUAUCUGAGAUGAAUAUUCUUUCUUUUGAUGCCAAGUAUUUGAUGUCCACCUACUGAGCUGAGUAAUCUCUGAGGAUGCCAUUGUUGCCAUGUUACCUCCUUCCUGAGUUCCUGUUGUGUAACUUUCCCACCAACUAAACCACGAUUUCCCAGCUCUGCCUGUGGUUGAGUGGUGCUUAAGAGACGGAGGGCUUGGAGGAGACUAAUGAUGGCCCAGCAAGGAUAUGUUUGCCUGAUGUUAUUAUGGGCUCAGAUGACACGUUCAGAGCUGACCCCAACCCACCUAUCCCCAGCUGCCUUUGGUAAUCAAGGUCUUUUGUUUUUCCAGGAUGAAGUUUUCUAGGACAUUCAGCUGUUCCUUGUGUGCAAACCACUGUGUACCUUUGACCCUCCUUGUUGUUUUUCUCUGAACCUCCUCCAAUUUCCACUAUAUCUUUUUAAAGAUGUGGGGGUGGAAGAACUGCCAGGACUGUACAAAGUGUUUGUGAUGCAAGCCCAUCAUGGCUUCAUACAGUGGAAAAUGUUGCUGAGUUAGCUUUUGGCUCUGCCACACUACUCUGAGCACCACUGCAGCCAGAGAAGGACAAGGAACUGUGGUGGGACUGGAAUUUCUGGGAAAGGGCAAAGUGGUCCCAACAGCGUGGAGCCCUGUGCCAAGAAGACUCCAUUAACCAGUGUCUAUACUGGAUGGUGAAAAGAAGAAUGAAGACGAGACAGCCAGUGCUGUCAGCUUUUCUUCCACCUGAUUCAGGCUUUGGCCAUGCCCUGUAUCUGCUCCAGAAAGCCAAGGCUUCAGAUGAAGGAUGGAAGAAGGAAAGCAGGAGGCUGGGAAAUGAUUUUGGUCAUGUCCACGCUGGCAGGGCCUGAAUCUUGAUAUGUUUGCUACAUGAUACUACCACAAUUCCUUAAGGAGUAACAUGAUAGUUUUCUGCAGAGGAAUGUUUUCUGAACAUGGCCAAAAUAUGGCAUUUGGAAAAGUGAGCUGCACAUCAUUUCUCCAAAUGAGAAUGCAAAUAGCGGAGAAUGCAAAUAGCUGGCCUUUUAAAGCCUCCCUGAAAAUUUCAUAGACAACUCAGAUCAAUAUGAUUUAAAGGACUUCUCUCCUGACAACACUAACCCUAUGGAUAGUCCCUCCCAUGCUGUCUGUGAUCAUCCUACCAGGCCCUGCUGCCAGCAUGAAAAAUACAAUAUCAAGUUUGAGGAAAUCUGUGGCAGAAAAUAAUACCAACUUUUGCAUGUACUACUGAGUAACUGGACUCCAAAAGUGAAACAGAGAGAGUGACAAGUAAUGAUGGACAAGAAAAGGCUCAUCCCUUAGACACAAAGCAAGCUCCAAGAUCUGCUCUUCCUACUUGUGUUAUAUUUACCUUGUCUUUCUGUACUGUGGAGACACAGGAACUCACAGGGCAUGGUGAUCCAAGCUUGCAAAUGGAAACAAGGUCUACAGUCUCGGUGAGGAAGCUGGCAUGGUGGGGUGUGUUAAGGCCCACAACAUAUUACAUGAUGAUGGAUUGAUGGGACCACAUCAAGGGGCCCUGAGAGCAAUGUGGCUCUUUGGCCCCAUAAUAACACCAGUGACAAAAAUCAAAGGAAUAAGAAGGAGCAGUUAACAUUUCCUCCACAAAUGCUAAAAACAGCACCAAAUAAUGUGUAUGAAUCAUCAUAUCUACUCUUACGCAAGCUGGAAUAAAAAUGUAAGAGUCAUGCAAACUGGGAUAAACUGUCACGCUCUGAGACAUAAUGCAUCUCCAGAAGUAAAGAAGAAACUGUUCCACAGGCAAGACUUGGCAUAAUUACACUCUGUGCGGGAUUUUGCACCUUUCUUUAAAGUAUCUGUGCUAACAACUGCCAGAGAUGACGUACCAAGCUGCAGAAGGCGUUUGGCUAACCUGCAGUGGCAGUGCCUAUCUCACUACUGGUUUAAUUCUGUCCCCCUUCCACUUUUUCACUACACACCCAUGCUACGAGACUGUAUGACAAAUGCCACUCAAAGGCAAGAGGUACACAUCCAGUAUUAGGUUUGUAAGGCAAUUAAAUUGUCCUUUUAAUGUUCUCUUAAUCACUGUGGUUUCUGUAGCGCCAUAUUAGAUACAUGUUGAAAUGAUGUCUUACUUCCACUGAUUAUACCAGUGUCCUUGUCUUUAAUGCAUUCACACUUCUGAAAGUUACUGCUCUUUUUGUCUUGUCUCCAGCUACAAUAUUCAGAAGACUAUGUUCUUAAAAGCAGCAAUUAGCACAUUGCAGUGGUACAGACGUCAACUAAUCCCCAUGGUGAUGAGAUCCCAAAGGCAAAGCAUGUGCUAACAAUCUGAACAAUACCAGGGAGCAUUUCUGGGCAUUGGGACUCAGUCAUCUAUAUUGCUAAAUUACCAGGAUCCCUCCAGGCACAUUUUCAGCCCAUCCUGACCACCAAUGUCAAACAGUCCCCAGUAUUGGAGUCAGCUUGGGACACUGACCAUUCCCCUCAAGCAGUUCGGAUGUGAUCACCCUCCCCUGGAGAGUUUCACAGUGCAGAUGAAAUGCAUCCCAUUCUGUGCCCAGGGGGCCUCCCUUCCAGAGGACAGCAAUAGAUGCAGUUAAUACAGUAAUGUUGAUAGCUGAGGUUCUCCCAUCUCAUAUUCACUUCUUGCUUUCAUUCCCUGUACUCAUGAAAUUCUUACUCUCGUCUGCCUUCUCUUCUGCUUUAUCACAUAGCGUGGUGUGAUGCCCAUGACUUAAGCAAGGAUAGCCAUCAUUCUUCGUGCUCCCCCAUAAGCAAGGUGUUUAGGGCUGCAGGACUCAGAGGAUGCCCUGGGUUCUGGAUUUUCUUAUGUUUAGAAUCCCUUUCCUCAGAGCCAGGAACUACAGUGAUUUAGCAAACAGUGUGAUAUCUAAUAGCUAGCAAGCUGAGAGGUAUGGAACAGCCAACGGGGAAAGCCCUGCAAAAGAACAGAGUGAAUCCCAGAGCCACAGCUGGGUGCCUAUGGCUGCUACCUUUGGUGAAAACUGAUGGUGCCUGUCAUUUUGGGGGAUUAGGUUCUUGAACUAGCCCUGUCUUAGAGACUGUUAGGUAUAGAGGCAGGCCAGUAAAUGAUUUCUGGUUUCAGGAGUGGCUGGGGGGAUUAGUAUACACAUGUGUUUACAGCCUUGCAGUGGCAAUAGGUUGCCUAAAUGUUCUGUGGAUCAAACUACACAUCAGCCAGUGCUGAGAUUUACAGGGCUUCCUUGCAGUUCAGCUUAUUAUGGCCCAUGGUGCCUCACCACAGUUCUCCUGGCAAGUGUCUUAGCACGAAGAGCCAGACCAAGGUCAGGAUACUUCCAAAUUCAUCAAAAAGGGACUGAAAUUAACCACAGGCAGUGCAGGGCACUAUGUUGUCCCCAUGCAGCAGUAUCACAUUCCCCGUUGGGUCCCAUGUGUCAUCCAGAGCUGCUUGAUGUGCUGUGUUAUAAGCACAGGCUUUCUCUAUCCGAACCACACCAUAUGGGUGCCUCAUUCCUUUUACAUGCGGCUGCAGGUUUCCUGCUGCAUAUGCUCAGCCUCCCACAGCUGGAAGCAGUAAGAGGUAGUUUGAUCUACAUGUUAUACUCAGGAAGGAUUGAAGUUUGCAAAUUUUUAGCACUCUGCACGCUAGCAGGCCCAUAAUAAUCUUUAUUGGCGGGUUUGUUUGCUUUAUGGUUGCAAUUUUCAUCCUUCGAUGAGAAGCUUCCAGCACUUCCUGCAGGAGCAGAAGGCUAUUGUCACUUUAUCACUUCACAGUUGCAGAUCUCUGUCCACCACUCACUGGUCUGUGGUAAACAACAUCUCCAGCGUUGCUUCUGUCCGUCAAGGGAAAGGGUUGAGCUGGCAUUUUGCCACAUUUGGCAAGUGUGGGCUGAUACAAACGAUACGAGGUUUUUUUUAUAGUGCCUAUCACCAGAGUAUCAAAGCGCUGAAACACUGCUAGUCGUGUUUGCCUCCCCAUUGAUCUUAUCACCAAAGGCCAGUCCUACCAUCCGUCUUCCAUGUGGUAUUGCUUAGAGGCUUCGUUUUGUCAGAUAGGCUGCUCUGCAUCCAGUGCUGGGGUAGGCUCUAACUCUGGGAUCUGGUUCCAGGCUUUAAUUAGGACUGAUGGCAAAUGGGCUGUUCACAAAUGCUUUUUGCAAGAUGACUCCUGCACAGUCAGAAGCUCUCUUAAAUUCAUUUGUCUCAUGUAGUGAACUUUUCAUUGCUUUAAGAGGCCUACGGAUGCUGCAGGUGUUAAAACUGAGGUCAAAGUAUUCUACAUCAGGUGGAACCCACAUAGGCAACAUCCUAGAAACUAAUUUGUAAUAAGUCUGUGAUGUUCAGAACGAGAUGGUUCUGCCAAUCUGAGCUGACUGACUGUUUGUUCAUGAUCUAUAUAAUAGUUGCAUUAGACCUUUUAAAUUUCAAUAUAUUUUUAUGCUUUGGCACUCUCCAGACACAUUGAAAUAAAUCUUGUGCAUUUCUGCAUGUUGCAGCAACUGGGUAAGUGCUACUGUGGUCAGUUUUAAUAGGUAUUAAUACAGUAAGUAGCAAGCAAAUUAUAACUGUUUCACAUUAGACGUAAUUUUACAGCAGACAAUUUUAUAAGGAGAAUGGAAUGAAUCAAAUACAGUAGUUUGUAUUAAAAUAUCUUUUACAUUCCCUGUGUUCCAGUGGAACUGAUGACAAGUCUAAGGAAGCAUGCUAGGACAAACAGACCAGAAAAUUAAAUUCUUCUAGCUUUCAUAUGCCACAGCAGGAAUAAUUUGGCUUUUUUUUUUCUUUCUUUCUCAGCCUUUCUUUCAAUUUUCUUUUUUGGAGAGAGGAUGACAAUGUAGUAUUACAUUUCCAAAUCCUAUAAAAAACCAUACAUUUUCAGUUUCAUACAACUAUGGUCUGGUUUAGUUCCUCUGGAUGGACUCUAAUGUGGUAUUCGUGAUAAUGUCAUUUACUUUGCAUGUGAAUAAAGCCAAAUGGUUACACACAAGGCUUGAAUCUCAUAGCUCUGGAUCUUUGGGAAAUGUUUAUUCUCUCAAUUAAGCAUAUAUAUAUUUGCCAGAUGUACAAGGUCUCACAGCGUUUUUAUGUACACCCCAUGCUAAAAGAGUCUGUGCUCAAGCUCUAGAUCCCACUGAAUGCAGAGCACUUCAACAUGUGGGUGUCUUUGCACUGAGGCAUUGGCUGCUUUGAUCUCAGUGUUCUUCGUGAGUCAGGAGAUCACUGUGAAGGCUCUGAGGGACUUCGUGUCUGCUGGCAUCAGUGGGGCAUCCAGAUCAGAUCUUCCUUAGUAAGAUGGGAGCUUAUUCAGCCUGAUUUUCACUGUCCAAAGGUGGAGUGCCUUGCCUCGACUAGCUAUGAUCAAUAUGGACAGAGACACACCUAUCAGGGAGCCAUUUAUUUCAUGCUUAUGUAUGAGAUAAUCAGUCUUAUUCAAGACCAGUGGGAGAACUGGCUCCUGUCUGUAUAUCACCUGUAAGGAGAGCCCAAACAACAGGCUUGGCUAGGUGACUACCAUUCAGAUAGCUGUGCUAUAGGGCCAAGAUACAGACAGGCUGCCACCUGGGUGGAGACAACCAUCUACAUGUGAUGCAUGUGGUGAUGGAAGUCACCAUGUUCUCAAGCCCUUUCUUUACCUUGGAGCAGACACAGCACUGGUCAUAAAUCAGCAGUAAAUAAAAUGCUAAAACUUAACAAGUUGAAAAGAAUAAUCAACUCAUGCUUACAUAGGAGUUACAUGAAAACUUCCUAAAAAUAUUUGCGUUAUGAAUCUGUCUAUCCCUGGUCUAGAGAGGUUCCAGCAGUC